rnacentral:rRNA from 1 species
UACGGGGGGAGCAAGCGUUGUUCGGAUUUACUGGGCGUAAAGGGCGCGUAGGCGGCCUGCUAAGUCGAACGUGAAAUUCCUGGGCUCAACCCAGGAACUGCGUCCGAUACUGGUUGGCUUGAAUCCGGGAGAGGGAUGUGGAAUUCCAGGUGUAGCGGUGAAAUGCGUAGAUAUCUGGAGGAACACCGGUGGCGAAGGCGACAUCCUGGACCGGUAUUGACGCUGAGGCGCGAAAGCCAGGGGAGCAAACGGG